GAAUAGCAACUUUGAAGCGAGGGCACGGGGGCGGGCCUUGCGGCUUAUUACGCACGCGCAUUCUCUUCUCACUGAUUGGCGAGCGCCGUACACUUUCUCUCUUGCUCCAAGAACCCCCUUAGCAACGGUCACCGUUGAGACGGAGGAAGACGCCCCCAGCGGAUUGGCUGCACCGGGCCUCUCUGCAGCGUAGAUUGGCUGAAGCGUCGAUAGAGGGCCAGGCCUUGGCAGCCUCUGCCGGAGAACCGGCUGUCCCAGAACCGAGGCAGGACAGAACCUGUGGUGCCCCGCGGCACAGAGGAGCGACAAGAUGAUCCGCCGGAAGUCCAGCCAAUUCCAGGGACUGAAAAUGCAAUCGGAGCUUGAACAGCACUACGAACUGCGGAGAGAACCCAAGAAAGACCUCAGGUCAUUGGAUGAAUCGGCCACGCGGAUGGGAACAGGUGUGCAUACCGAGUCGGGAACCGUGGCUUCGGUGAAUGCGGAUGCGGAUCCUGCAGCCGACUUGUUCCCGCCGCCACUGCCCCAGCCCCGGAUCUGCAUAUGGAAGUACCUGGACAUCCAUUCCAUGCACAGGCUGGAGAAGACAGCCAAUGUUGAGGAGAUGAGGGAGGUGCUGGCCGAGCUGUUGGGACUAGGCUCUCCUGCGCAGAGCCUGCGGGACGCCAUCACCCUGGACCUCUUCUCCCAUGCACUCAUCUUCUGCCGCCAACAAGGCUUCUCCCUGGAGCAGACAUCAACGGCUUGUGCCCUGCUCCAAGAUCUUCACAAGGCCUGUAUUGCAACCCCCUUGGGCAACGUGGAGGAAUGUUACCGCUACUUCACCAGUGUUCUUUUUUGCCACGGAAUCAGGCGGCCCCCCUUCAGUAUCAACCUCUUUAAGGAGGAACAGCUGCUGGCCCUGGCAGAUUAUGUGGUCAACACCUACUUCCGCCACUUCAAGCUCUACAAAUAUGUCUUCACACCCCAGGUACUGGGCCAUGGGCUACAAGAGGCCACCCCUCAUCUCCCCCCUUUCCCUCAGUGCAGACGUCUUCCUCCCUCUUUCCAGGUGCGGCUGGAUCUAUCUUUGACUUACAUGGGGCUACAGGCACCCAAGCUCUGGCCAAAGGAUGAGACGGGUAAGGGAGAAUGCCGGGGCGAGGGCUGGACUGGGCUGGGGCUGAAGCCUCCUCCUGCCUUCUGGCUUGCAGAGAAAGAAGAGGGCGAAGAGGUGGAGGAGCAGGCACUCACCCCAGAUGAGGAGGAACCGGAAACAGUGGUCCAGCCAGAGCCAGAGCCAAAAGUCCAAGAUGGCAAACAGAUAAAAGCACAGCUGCUGGGGGUGAGGCAGGAGUCCUAGAAAAGGAUUAUAAAACCAAUGACAAUAGGGCUUCCCUGGCGGUGCAGUGGUUAAGAAUCCACCUGCCAAUGCAAGGGACACGGGUUCAAGCCCUGGUCCGGGAAGAUCCCACAUGUCGUGGAGCAACUAAGCCUGUGAGCCACAACUACUGAAGCCCGCGUGCCUAGAGCCUGUGCUCCACAACAAGAGAAGCCACCACAAUGAGAAAUCCGCGUGCCACAAGGAAGAGUACCCCCACUCGCCACAACUAAAGAAAGCCCAUGCACGGCAAUGGAGACCCAACACAGCCAAAAGCCAGGUCUCCAUCCUCCGGGCCUACAUCAAGACCCAGAUGAACAAGGAACUGGAGCAGCUCCAACAACUGGUGGAGGAACGGCUCAAGGCCAGUGAGGAAAGGCUCAGCAGCAAGCUGACCGCACUCGAGCAGCCCCUCCAGCUACCUCCAGGCAAAGGCAAGAACAAGACCUAGUGACCCCCACCCUCUUCCCCAAUAAAGACCUGGACCAAAGUGGC